GACGAACGCUGGCGGCGUGCUUAACACAUGCAAGUCGAACGGAAAGGCCCUGCUUUUGUGGGGUGCUCGAGUGGCGAACGGGUGAGUAACACGUGAGUAACCUGCCCUUGACUUUGGGAUAACUUCAGGAAACUGGGGCUAAUACCGGAUAGGAGCUCCUGCUGCAUGGUGGGGGUUGGAAAGUUUCGGCGGUUGGGGAUGGACUCGCGGCUUAUCAGCUUGUUGGUGGGGUAGUGGCUUACCAAGGCUUUGACGGGUAGCCGGCCUGAGAGGGUGACCGGCCACAUUGGGACUGAGAUACGGCCCAGACUCGUACGGGAGGCAGCAGUGGGGAAUAUUGCAAAAUGGGCGGAAGCCUGAUGCAGCAACGCCGCGUGCGGGAUGACGGCCUUCGGGUUGUAAACCGCUUUCGCCUGUGACGAAGCGUGAGUGACGGUAAUGGGUAAAGAAGCACCGGCUAACUACGUG
rnacentral:rRNA from 1 species